AAAAAAAAGAGAGAUACGCGUUUCGAUCGAUACGUCCAACUGAUUGUGAGCCGGCGAUAAUGUAUACACUCGUAGUGGAUUAAUUUUGGUGAUGAUGGCGAAUCGUUGCUAACGAUAAACGAUUCUGAGUAAAGCUCGGUUAAAUACGGUUUUGAAGUGCCGCGGUCCACGCGGUAAUUUCGAACUCGAAACGUUACAUAUAAAACUAUAUUACGCUCGACAUCCCCCAAUCUCAGCCCCUCACUAAAGGGUGCGUAUACCUAUUAUUUUUUUUUCAAUUUUUUCGAAACGGAUACACACGACGACCGCGAACACGGAAUAUGCAUCUACGCGUACCCGUAUUAAUAAUCGACCGCCGCAAACAUUGCGCGAUAACUAUGCGUAAUUUUUUUUUAUUAAUUGACGGUACGCCCGGCGCGUAUUGUAUUAUUACGAGUAUGCGUGCGCGGCCGCGGUAAUACCGCGCGGUUCGUUCGCGGGUUUACGGUGUUUAUCGUGGCGUAAAUUAGAAAGAGAGAAAAAUCAAUUCCGAAUCGCCGUUACACGUACGCACGCGUACGCAAUAAUCUAUUUCAUCCCGAGGCUUUGGACUGUGCCUGCACGGAGUCGCGCGCGGUUUUUUUUUAAUCACAAUGCGUGCGGCA